CGCGCCUUCCCAUAAUCCAUUCUUUUCUUCGCUUGGGUUCAUCUCUGCAGAAUUACAUAAUUUGGUAGCAGUAUAAAGAAGUAGUUAUUUGCCUAUAUAAUUUAGCUCAAACAAGUGAAGAAGACAGAAUACACCAUGUCUGAAGACGAAGGGCGAAAUCAGAUCAACGUUCGAAGAAUUUGGGCAGAUCAGCGAUGUAACAGUUGUCAUGGACCGAGAGACAGGCCGUAGUCGUGGCUUUGGUUUUGUACAGUUUUAUGAUAAAUCGGCCGCUAUGGCAGCAAUAAGUCGUAAUGAUAUUGAACUUGGUAAUAGGACGUUAAGAGUGCAAACCGCAA
rnacentral:misc_RNA from 1 species